CCUACGGGAGGCAGCAGUGAGGAAUAUUGGUCAAUGGACGAGAGUCUGAACCAGCCAAGUAGCGUGAAGGAUGACUGCCCUAUGGGUUGUAAACUUCUUUUAUAUGGGAAUAAAACGUUCCACGUGUGGGAUUUUGUAUGUACCAUAUGAAUAAGGAUCGGCUAACUCCGUGCCAGCAGCCGCGGUAAUACGGAGGAUCCGAGCGUUAUCAGGAUUUAUUGGGGUUAAAGGGAGCGUAGGUGGAUUGUUAAGUCAGUUGUGAAAGUUUGCGGCUCAACCGUAAAAUUGCAGUUGAAACUGGCAGUCUUGAGUACAGUAGAGGUGGGCGGAAUUCGUGGUGUAGCGGUGAAAUGCUUAGAUAUCACGAAGAACUCCGAUUGCGAAGGCAGUUCACUGGACUGCAACUGACACUGAGGCUCGAAAGUGUGGGUAUCAAACAGGAUUAGAUACCCCAGUAGUC
rnacentral:rRNA from 1 species